CGGCGGACGGGUGAGUAACACGUGGGUAACCUACCUAUAAGACUGGGACAACUUCGGGAAACCGGAGCUAAUGCCGGAUAAGAUAUCGAACCGCAUGGUUCGAUAGUGAAAGAUGGUUUUGCUAUCACUUAUAGAUGGACCCGCGCCGUAUUAGCUAGUUGGUGAGGUAACGGCUCACCAAGGCAACGAUACGUAGCCGACCUGAGAGGGUGAUCGGCCACACUGGAACUGAGACACGGUCCAGACUCCUACGGGAGGCAGCAGCA
rnacentral:rRNA from 1 species